GCACUGCUUAGGAGUCCCACAAUAGGACGAAACGGCCGUCCAGUGC
rfam:Schistosoma mansoni strain Puerto Rico chromosome 2, complete genome